rnacentral:rRNA from 1 species
AUUGAACGCUGGCGGCAGGCCUAACACAUGCAAGUCGAACGGAUGGCGGACGGGAGAGUAAUGUCUGGGAAACUGACUGGUGGAGGGGGAUAACAACUGGAAACGGUUGCUAAUACCGCAUACCAUCGGAUGUACCCAGAUGGGAUUAGCUGGUUGUUGGGGUAACGGCGCACCAAGGCGACGAUCCUUAGCUGGUCUGAGAGGAUGACCAGCCACACUGGGACUGAGACACGGUCCAGACUCCUACGGGAGGCAGCAGUGGGGAAUAUUGAACAAUGGGCGCAAGCCUGAUGCAGCCAUGCCGCGUGUAUGAAGAAGGCCUUCGGGUUGUAAAGUACUUUCAGCGGGGAGGCGUUACCUGCAGAAGAAGCACCGGCUAACUCCGUGCCAGCAGCCGCGGUAAUAC